ACAUGGAGCCAGCCCUACCUGGUGUGGCGUCUUGUGUGACUUUAAGGGAGUACAGCGUGGCAGCCAAGCCAGAACCGUAAGAGAACACUCCAACCCUCUUCCCUGCCAACUGCUGAGAACGCAGACACUGAACAUACCAUCCCAAGAGCUGGAUUCGACCCAGUUCACGGCAUUGAAGACUGCAGCUGUGCCCCCAUAGCAUGCAUUGGUUGUAUCUAUUCCUUCUAUAUCUGUAUUCCCAGACUCCUCAAACAGCUGCAUCAAAUUAGACUUCACUGAUUUCGAUUUGUCGAUGAUUGUCUCUGUUCCAACUUCUAGCCGCCCAAUGCAAUCAUAGGAAAGGCUAUGUCUCUCCAUCAGUUUCUGAACCACAGUCAGGCAAAGAGAGUUGAUGUCUUCACGAUCCGUGCAGAAGCCCAUCCUGGCCUGGCCCAGGCCGAUGGUAUACUUUCCAGCAUCUACACCAUCGUAUUUUUCCAACUCAGCUUGAUCGACAUAUUGAGAAGGAAAGUAGAUUUCAAGGGCAACGAUUCCCACAUCUUUUGGCCAGCAAGCCUCUGCAUUCAAAGGAAGUGACCCAGGCAUGGUGAAAGAGCUGGAUAAAGACAAACAAACGCGGCUUUAGAUUUUAAGUUACUGACUUAUCAAGUUCAAGGCUACAAAACAGAUGGUGAGAAAUCAAGUCACCUGGACCACUGAGGUUUCUCUAAGUCUGGUGCAUUGUACUGGGGCAGUCAGCUAUAAAUAUGUAAAGCAGCAACUCAUGAAAAGAAUACAAUUUGUUUGUUUGAAUUAUAACCUUUUAGGAAGGCUUCCACCUAACUCGAAACUUAAAGAGUCAAAACAUGAUUUUAAGGCUCAGCGGCAGAGAACUUGCCUAACAUGUAUAAAGCCAUGGGUUCAAUCCCUAGCAACAUACACACAUGCACACAUGCAACCUUUCCAUAUGGUUUGCCUUAAAGAACUAAGAAACAAAAUGACGACUCAAAAGUAUGACUGACGACGGUCUGGAGCCAUGGUUUAGUGGUUAAGAGCACUAACUGCUGUUCUAGGGGACCUGGGUUUCAUUCCUUGUACCCACACCAGCUGGCUCACAAGCUCAGGUGGUUCCAAUUCCAGGGAAUCUCUCGCCUGUUGGCUUUCACUGGGACCUGCACUUCAGUGGUGCACAAAAACCCACAGAGACAGACAGACAGAUAAAAUCUUUUUAAAAAUAAAUGAACAACAAAUAAAAAAGACUUUAUUUGACACCAUAAAAAAGUAUAAACAAAAUCACCCACUGCCUAGAUUUACUUGCCAAAAGAAACAAAAAUAACUAACUCUUUAUACCACUGUCAUCUGCCCUGGGACUAGUCAUUUAACCUCGGAGCCUCAGGCCUUUAGAUGCUUUAUCAUCAAGAAAUGAAAAAUCAAUCUGGAUGUUUCCGCAGGUUGCGUGUAGUGUAGUGGGGCUUGUUAGUAUGGACAGUGGUUACAAACCUCCUAGCUUGGCUGUGGGGACAAACCCCAUGAGACUGAACUCCUACAACAUCCCAGUGGCCAUGUUUGGUUUGUAAUAACUGGGCAAAGUGGCUCAAGAGGACUUUCAGCUCUACAUCCAUCUACACCACAGGUUGCCAGCUACCCGGUCACACUGCUUUGCUCUCUGUUACAGUGUUUGUCAUCUACUGUUAAACUGACACCAAGAGCAAAAAGUCAAACACAUAUGACCUGUCCUCUGGCGCUCUAAAACCUCUGGUUAAUAUUAAAAUAGAAUAAAAGGACAGGCUAUUGCUACAGUGAGUUAAUUAUUAAAAUAUUGGGGGGAUAUUUAAAAUAGAAAAGCUUGGUCCUUAGAACAUGAAAUAUUUUUAUAGUACAAAAGUCUAAGGACAUAUUAAAAUAUAGAAAAAAAAACCC
rnacentral:lncRNA from 1 species